AGAAAGCUCAAAACGUUUCCCUGUCCCCACUGUCCUAUCCAGUGCUCAGCAUCGGGGAAGGAGGCUUCUGGGAAGGCCAGGUCAAAGGUCGAGUUGGCUGGUUCCCCUCUGACUGCCUAGAAGAGGUGGCAAACCGCUCCCAGGAGGGAAGACAAGAAAGCCGAAGCGACAAGGCAAAGAGACUCUUCAGGCAUUACACAGUGGGCUCCUACGACAGCUUCGAUGCCCCAAGUCUGAUCAAUGGGAUUGACUCAGGGAGGUGAGAGGGGCGGGGUAGGG